rnacentral:rRNA from 1 species
GUUUGAUCCUGUCUCAGAUUGAACGCUGGCGGCAUGCCUUACACAUGCAAGUCGAACGGUAACAGGUUAAGCUGACGAGUGGCGAACGGGUGAGUAAUGUAUCGGAACGUGCCCAGUCGUGGGGGAUAACUGCUCGAAAGAGCAGCUAAUACCGCAUACGACCUGAGGGUGAAAGCGGGGGAUCGCAAGACCUCGCGCGAUUGGAGCGGCCGAUAUCAGAUUAGGUAGUUGGUGAGGUAAAGGCUCACCAAGCCGACGAUCUGUAGCUGGUCUGAGAGGACGACCAGCCACACUGGGACUGAGACACG